CCUACGGGGGGCAGCAGUGGGGGAUAUUGCACAAUGGGGGGAACCCUGAUGCAGCGACGCCGCGUGGGUGAAGAAGCGCCUCGGCGCGUAAAGCCCUGUCAGCAGGGAAGAAAAUGACGGUACCUGAAGAAGAAGCCCCGGCUAACUACGUGCCAGCAGCCGCGGUACUACGUAGGGGGCAAGCGUUAUCCGGAUUUACUGGGUGUAAAGGGGGCGCAGGCGGCUAUGCAAGCCAGGAGUGAAAGCCCGGGGCCCAACCCCGGGACUGCACUUGGAACUGCGUGGCUUGAGUGCAGGAGGGGCAGGCGGAAUUCGUGGUGUAGCGGUGAAAUGCGUAGAUAUCACGAAGAACUCCGAUUGCGAAGGCAGCAUACCGGCGCCCGACUGACGCUGAGGCACGAAAGCGUGGGUAUCGAACAGGAUUAGAUACCCUAGUAGUC
rnacentral:rRNA from 1 species